rnacentral:rRNA from 1 species
GGUGCCUAAUACAUGCAAGUUNNUCGGACAGAUGGCGCAGCUUGCUCCCUGAUGUUAGUUGGCGGACGGGUGAGUAACACGUGGGUAACCUGCCUGUAAGACUGGGAUAACUCCGGGAAACCGGGGCUAAUACCGGAUGGUUGUCUGAACCGCAUGGUUCAGACAUAAAAGGUGGCUUCGGCUACCACUUACAGAUGGACCCGCGGCGCAUUAGCUAGUUGGUGAGGUAACGGCUCACCAAGGCGACGAUGCGUAGCCGACCUGAGAGGGUGAUCGGCCACACUGGGACUGAGACACGGCCCAGACUCCUACGGGAGGCAGCAGUAGGGAAUCUUCCGCAAUGGACGAAAGUCUGACGGAGCAACGCCGCGUGAGUGAUGAAGGUUUUCGGAUCGUAAAGCUCUGUUGUUAGGGAAGAACAAGUGCCGUUCAAAUAGGGCGGCACCUUGACGGUACCUAACCAGAAAGCCACGGCUAACUACGUGCCAGCAGCCGCGGUAAUACGUAGGUGGCAAGCGUUGUCCGGAAUUAUUUGGGCGUAAAGGGCUCGCAGGCGGUUUCUUAAGUCUGAUGUGAAAAGCCCCCGGCUCAACCGGGGAGGGUCAUUGGAAACUGGGGAACUUGAGUGCAGAAGAGGAGAGUGGAAUUCCCACGUGUAUCGGUGAAUUUGCGUUAUAGAUGUUGGAGGAACACUCAGUGGGCGAUCG